rnacentral:lncRNA from 1 species
UCGGCGGCACCUUCGGCGGCCGAAAGUGCCCUCCAGAGACGAAAGUCCAUUCGGGGGCAGGCUUCGGCAGCCGAAAGGCUUGCCUCACAGACAGGUUCGGCAGCCGAAAAUCCUUUCGGCUGCCGAACCUAGUUUCUCCCAAAGGGCAAAAACUCAGCUCUUCAAUACACACUUUCCUCCCAAACCUCCCAAACAAGCAUCCAACUCUCUCAAAGCAUGCAUACACACAUACAUCAACACCUAGGGGUCUUAGACUAUCCUAAACCCUAAAUACAACACAUCAAACAUACACAAAUAUCAUACAUUGUCCAUAAGUUCACAUAAAACCUAACCAAGUUCAACUACCCUAAACAUGCAUUUCUACCCCAUGAAUCAACUUAAAACUUACUUAAAACAUAAAAUGAGUUCAAGAUCGGCUCUUACCUCUUGAAGAUCGAGAGAGAGAUGACCUAAACUUGGAGAACCAAGGAAAAGAGCUCCUGAGUCUUCCAAGCCUCAAAACUUGCUUAAAUGCUCAAAAAUCUUCAAAACAAAGUGAAAUCUCAUGAAAAUCAUAAAAGAUUUGUAAGAAGAGACUCAAAAUAGAUGGGGAACGGCGGAGAGCUCACCUUGGCCGAAAUGGGGAGAAAAGCUCGCCCAUUUCGGACAAGGGACCCCUUUAUAGGUGGCUGGCCAGGCCACUUUCGGGGGCCUAACGUGCCUCCGCAUGCAUGCCAUGUUCGGCAGCCGAACUUAAGGUUCGGUGGCCGAACCUAGACUUCCCUCACUUAUGCCUUCGGGGGCCUAAAGCACUCCCGAAGCGCAUGCAUGUUCGGCGGCCGAACUUGAGGUUCGGCGACCGAACCUGAGUCUUCCUCCAAGGUCUAUUUCAUUCAAAACUCAUUUUUCUUCUUACUUAAAAUCAUCAAAUACAUUAAAACAUUUUAUAAAAACAUGAUUUUACCCUUCUAGAGGUCUCCGACAUCCGAGAUUCCUCCGAUCAGUAGGAAUUCCGAUACCGGAGUCUAGCCGGGUAUUACAGCCUCCACAUCUUGAGUGCGAAGAUCACAGCUGCCAUCUCUAGAUCGUGUGUAGGAUAAUUCAACUCAUGCUUUUUCAGCUGCCUAGAAGCAUAAGCAAUUACCCUAUCAUUUUGCAUUAACACACAACCUAGUCCCACACGGGACGCAUCACAAAAUACUGUGAAGUCUUCAUUACUGCUAGGCAGAGCUAACACCGGUGCUGACGUUAACCUUUUGUUCAGCUCCUCAAAGCUUUCCUCACACUGCUCAGACCACACAAACCUCUGAUUCUUCUUGGUCAAUCUGGUCAUAGGAGCGGCGAUUUUGGAGAAGUCUUGUACGAACCUCCUAUAGUAAUCUGCCAAACCCAGAAAGCUCUUAAUCUCUGUAAUUGUAGUGGGUCUAGGCCAGUUAGCUAUAGCUUCCACCUUCUUGGGGUCCACUUCAAUUCCCUUUUCCGACACAACAUGUCCCAAGAAGGAAAUGCUCCUUAACCAGAACUCACACUUUGAGAACUUGGCAUACAAGCCAUGCUCCUUCAGGGUCUGCAAAACCAUCCUCAGAUGAUGGGCAUGCUCCUCUGCAUUUCUGGAAUACACCAAGAUAUCAUCAAUGAAGACAAUAACAAAGUGAUCCAGAUACUGACUGAAAACUCUAUUCAUGAGAUCCAUGAAUGCUGCAGGGGCAUUGGUUAGCCCAAACGACAUUACUAGGAACUUAUAAUGCCCAUAUCUAGUCCUGAACGCCGUCUUCGGCACAUCUUCUUCUCUGAUUCUCAGCUGAUGAUACCCGGAUCUCAGAUCUAUCUUGGAAAAACAACCUGUUCCUGUUAGCUGGUCAAAUAGAUCAUCGAUCCUAGGUAACGGAUACUUAUUCUUGGUAGUGACUUUGUUCAACUGCCUGUAGUCGAUACAAAGUCUCAAGGAUCCAUCCUUCUUCUUUAUAAACAGCACUGGAGCACCCUAAGGUGAGGUACUCGGUCGGAUGAAACCCUUGUCUACCAACUCUUGCAACUGCUCCUUUAGCUCCUUCAACUCUGCUGGUGCCAUCCUGUAGGGAGGGAUAGAGAUCGGUCUGGUUCCAAGCAUCAAUUCUAUUUCGAACUCCAUCUCCCUAGCAGGUGGUAGUCUAGGAAGCUCAUCUGGGAAGACAUCUAGAAACUCUCUGACCACGGGCACUGAGGCGGGCUCCCUAACCUGACUAACCAGCUCUCUCACAUGAGCUAGAAACCCCUGACAACCCCUCCUGAGCAACCUACGAGCCUGUAGGGCUGAUAUCAGGCCUUUAGGCAUACCCCUCCUGUCUCCCCUGAAGAAAACCUCUGACCCAUCUGAUCUCUGAACCUGACUACCUUGUCUUUGCAAUCGAAGGUAGCACCAUGAGUAGAUAGCCAAUCUGUAAUACCCGGCUAGAUCUCGGCAUCGGAAUCCCGACUUUCCGGCGGAAUCACCGUUGGAACCUGGAAUGUUGGAGAUGCCAGAGUCUUCUAGGGGGUUAAAAUGUGUUUUCUAAAAUGUUUUCACUUGAUUUUAUGGUUUCAAAUGGAAAGGAAACUGAGUUUUUAAAAGUUUAGGCUAAGGAGGCAUUUGCCAGGUUCGGCCGCCGAAAGUCAAGUUCGGCCGCCGAACAUGGGGCUGUUUCGGGAGUGCUUUAGGCUUCCGAAAGUGUGAGGGCAGAAAGCAGGUUCGGCCGCCGAACAUGCAUGAGUUUAGGAGGCACGUUAGGCUGCCGAAGGUCGUCGACCAGGCCACCUAUAAAAGGCCCUCAGACCGAAAAUGGGCGAGUUUUCUCCCCAUUCUCGAGCUUAGGUGUGUUCAUGUCCUCCUCUAGUCAUUUUUAUGCUUUUUCUUCAAUCCUUCACGUUUUUAUAAGUUUCAUGGUUGUUUUGAAGAGUUUUGGGUUCAAAGAUAAAGUUUGGAGCUUGGAGAACCAAGGGGUUUGUUUCCUCCCAUCUCCAAGUUAGAGAUCACACCAACCCUCGAUCUUCAAGAGGUAAGUGUAGAUCUAUGCUUUCCUUUAUGUUUUAAUGAAGUUUUAAGGAGUUUUAAUGCUUGAGUAUGGGUAGAUAUGCAUGUUAGGGUUUAUGUGGGUUUUGUGCCCAAUAUGUGUUUAUGUGAUGUUAUAUUGAAGGUUUAAGCUAGGUUAUGCAUGUGGGAGAGUGUAUGCAUGAUUGGGAAAGAGCAAGUGAGAUUAUGGGUUGUUUUGAUGGUUUUGGCCUAUGUGGGUCAUAAACUAUCUAUGUAUGCUUUGGAUGUUGUUUUUGGAGUUCAAUCUAGUUGUUAAGCUCCUUUAUGCAUGACUAAGGGUUUAUGCUUGGUUUUGAGAAGUUUCUGCAUGUUUUAUGAGGUUGGAUGUUUGUUUUGGGGGGUUGGGAGGCUUGUAUGCACAAGGGCUGAGUUCUGGAAGAACUCAGGUUCGGCCGCCGAAGGUGGUUUCGGCCGCCGAGCCUGCCUAUGGAUGCAUGGAUUGGCCGCCAAACCUUGCCCCCGAAAGUUAUGUUUCGGAGCUGGAGCAGACUUUCGGCCGCCGAAGGUAAUGUUCGGCUGCCGAAAGUGCCUGACUUUCGUCUCUGGAGAGAGGGUUCGGCCGCCGAAAGUGCCCCCGAACCUGCAUGACUUUCAUCUCUGGAAGGGACCUUCGGCCGCCGAAAGUGCCCUGUCCAGCCCUUUCAUGGGUGUUUUCUAUGAUUGUUUUAAGGAUGUUUUAGGGGGUUUUUGGGUAGUUGUUGUGAAGUUGUGUAGAGUAUGUUUGGCACCUCACUGGAGUCCACCUGUGUAGGAUCAGACCCGAGGAACCGAGGUGUUUAGCAGUGUUAGCUGCUUCAGAGUCGGUCCAGAGCUAGUCAAGAUGAGUAGAACAUAACUCUUUUUAAUAUUAAAAAAAUUAAAUGUUCUAAGCAUGUUCAUGCAUCACGGAUACCAUGAUUAUGAAAUAGGUUGUUUGCAUUAGAGUUCACAAAUAUGUUGCAUUGCAUAAUACGGUGAUGAUGAUAUGGAUGAAUAUUGGAUGAUCCAUUAGCCCUCAGUAUGAUGUGUUAUGAUAUAACAUGAUAGGACAUGAUAGGACAUGUAUGGCAUGAUAUGAGAUGGAAAGACCAGGUGUGGCCGUAUCGCCCCUGGCAUAGAGCAUUGUUGGACUUGUUAUGAGAUGAGAUCUAGAUGUAGAGGGCUAAUGGUGACGAAUUCAUCCUUGAUGUGUAUUGUUUGUGAUGUGAUGCAUGUCAUGAAAGUAUAUAUUAUAAUAAACUGUUUUCUCUAUAGUUCUGCUCACUGGGCUUUAUAGCUCACUCCUCUCCCCUAACCCCAGGUUUGCAGGGUCAGAGAUAGUCAGGAGAUCAGCAGGUUAUGUCUAUGGUCAUGUUUAUGUAAUAGAUUAGUAGUGGACAUGAUGUAAGGUAAAGAUAUGUAAUGAAAUCUAAAAUGUUAUAAUGUAAUGUAAUGGAUAGAGUUGUGUUUUGCCCUAGAAGUGUGGUUAAUCCCUUUGCACAUGGUCCUUAUGUAUGUUUUUUUUAUGAGGCAUGAUAGCCAAGCUUAGUGUAUGUUGCCCCACGUGAGUUGUCGAUGAGAACUCUAGUGUUGGGGUUUAUGGUUAUGCGUUGUGCAUGCACAGGUUAAGCUUGGUGUUUGAAAGAAAGAAAGAGUUUACAGUUUUAUGUUUUAAAGUUUUUAUAUUUAUGUUUGAUCAUGUAUGGGGAUUACACCAGAUGUACAGGAUGUAUGUUAGGCUUGCUACGGGUCUCGGCGACCUUAUGUCGAUCUGGAUCCUAGCGCUGGUAGCUGAUAGAGCCAAAAUUAGACCCAUUUUCUAUGUUUAUAUUUAUGUCAAUUUACACAUUUUCUACCUAACUUUGUGGUUUUUGUCUUAUUUUGUAGGAAAUGGAGCAAAAUGGUAAUUUGGCUAAAAUGGCCUUAAUUCUGCCCAAAAGACAGCAAAAGAGAAUAAGCAUGGUUUGCCCAACUUGAUUGCCCAAGCCAAGGAGAAGCUGAGAUAAAGAGGAAAAAGUGAUAAAGUAUGCUGUCCAGACUGUUUGCCCAAACAGCACUGGGCUGUAACAGCCCGGAAAUCCGGACCGCUACCGGCGCUAGGAUCCGGAUCGGCGUAAGGCCGCCGGGACCCGUAGCAAGCCUAACAUAACCUGUAAUCCUGUUUAAUCCCAUACAUGAUCAACAAUAAACAUAAAUCUUAAAACUUUUCUUUCAUACAUGUCAUCAAUCACCAACUCAACCUGUACAUAUUCUGAACAUAUACAUAAACAUCGUCCCUCAGUGGGAUCUCAUCAAAGCCUCAAGGGCCAUACAUCAUAUGGUGAGUUGGUUUACAUCCACAUCAUAACAUAAAAUCAUGUACAUACCAAGGGAUUAACAUAUACUAUGGUCAAGCACAACUCUAUCCUCAAUAACAUAAUUACAUGAACAUAACUGUUCAAAGCUUUACAUUACAUUCUUAUAAUUUGUCAUGUCCACAUACUCUAGCUAUUACAUACAUAUGACUUUUCUCUUCUUUUCUUCUCUAUCAAUCCCGUACCUGCAAACCUGGGGGUUAGGGGAGAGGGGUGAGCUAAAAGCCCAGUGAGUAGAAACUAAAAACAUUAUAUUAAAGUUCAUGCUUUCAUGAAAUGCAUCACAUCACAGACAAUUCACAUCAAGGGUGAAGCGGUCACCAAUUAGUCCCAACAUAGUCUCGUGCCAGGCCGUAGCAUGGGGUCCUGGUCUUUCCUGUCACAUUAUAUAUCUAUUAAGUCUCGUGCCAGGCCGUAGCAUGGGGUCCUGGUCUUUCCGUCAUAACAUACAUAAUGCCUCGUGCCAGGCCGUAGCAUGGGGUCCUGGUCUUCCUGUCACAUCAUAUAUUAUGUCUCAUGGACUAAUUGGAUCAUACAGCAUUCACCCACAAGCGCAAAGGAAAAUGCAAUGCAACAUAUUCGUGAACUAAUGCAAUCAACCUAUUACAUAUCAUCAUGAUGCGUGAAGCAUGCUCAGAACAUUUAAUUACUUGAUUUAAAACAUUAAGCUUGUUUCCACUCACCUCUGGCUAGCUCUGACCAGACACUGAAGCAGCUCACUCACUGCUGGGGUCCUCGGUUCCUCGGGUCCGAACCUACACAGGUGGACUCUAAUGAGGGACCAAACAUAUAUAAACAUAACUCUAAACAUAUAUAAACAUAACUCUAAUAUCCCCCAAGAACCCCCUAAAACAUCAUGAAAACAUCAUAGAAAAUAUGCAUGAAAUGGCUGAACAGGGCACCUUCGGCGGCACCUUCGGCGGCCGAAAGUCCCGGACAGAGACGAAACUCAGCUAGGUUCGGCGGCACCUUCGGCGGCCGAAAGUGCCAGACAGAGACGAAAGUCUCUUUUCGGGGGCACCUUCGGCAGCCGAAAGCUGCCUUCACAAGAGGGGUUCGGCGGCCGAAACUCCCUUCGGCUGCCGAACCUGGUUUCUGCCAAACGGCAGAAACUUGGUN